rfam:Triticum aestivum genome assembly, contig: Triticum_aestivum_CS42_TGACv1_scaffold_222232_3B
GUACUACUCCCUCCGUCCAAAAAUACCUGUCAUCAAAAUAGAUAAAAAUGAUGUAUCUAGAAGUAAAUUAUGUUUAAAUACAUUCCCUUUUAUUCAUUUUGAUAUCAAGUAUUUCUGGACGGAGGGAGUAUAUC